CUGUAUGAUUUUUUAAAUCCUAAAUUUAACCCAUUUUCUUUCUUGGGGAGGCCCUCCAUACUGUGGUUGCAUUCAAUUUCCAUAGUGCUAUACCCAAAAAUUUCUUUCUGGCAGAAACACUGGCCACCUAACAGGAGUAACAAAAUAAUGGUCUGGCAAUGCAGUGGCUACUUAAUACAGGUUAAAAAGUGCUAUUAUAUUACACUAAACAUAAUCAUUCUCUGUUAUAUUACACUAAAUAUAAUCAUUCUUCGUACGAGAAAGAUUGGAUUGGGCGUUGUGGUCAUACACUGAGCUUUUCCCCCAAAAUACAAUUGCUGUACAACAGCCGAAGCUAUACACACAACUGCCAUGUGUAUAGCCACUGCUGUGUUAAGUGACAUGUAAAAGCCACUUUUAUGUUAAGUGACAAAGAAGGCCCCAUUCACUGAGGUUGUAUUUAUUUAUCUUUCUUUGCAAUAUUUAGCACGAUGUGUGUAGGUUAGUCAACUGGACCUGAGCGUCAAAAGAUUCUUGCAAAGUGUGGCUUUCGGGUCAGUACAAAGAAGGUGGUCUGCAGUGCAGAUCAAAUAAGGAGAAGCGAUCAGAAGAAUGGGAAACUCAUGUAUUAUAUUAUAGCUGAUAUGGCAAAAUAGUACAAUAGUUGCAUAGGAGAGGUGACUAUUUAGUACAGAUGAAUUAGUGAUGUGUCAUGAUAUGGCUGAAUAGUAAGGUGGUUGCAUGAGAGAGGGGUCUAAUUAAUACAGAUUAAUUAGUGCUGUUACAUGAUAUAGCAGAAUAGUACAGUGGUUGCAUAAGAGAGGUGUCUAAUUAAUACAAAUUAAUUGGUGCUGUUACAUGAUACAGCAGACAAGUAAGGUGGUUGCAUAAGAGAGGUGUCUAAUUAAUACAGAUUAAUUAGUGCUGUUACAUGAUAUAGCAGAGUAGUAAGGUGGUUGCAUAAGAGAGGUGUCUAAUUAAUACAGAUUAAUUAGUGCUGUUACAUGAUAUAGCAGACAAGUAAGGUGGUUGCAUAAGAGAGGUGUCUAAUUAAUAUAGAUUAAUUAGUGCUGUUACAUGAUAUAGCAGAGUAGUAAGGUGGUUGCAUGAGAGAGGUGGCUAUUUAAUGCAGAUUAAUUAGUGCUGUUACAUAAUAUAGCAGAAAAAUAAGGUGGUUGGAUAAAAGGUGGCUACUUAAUAGAUAUUAAUUAGUGCUGUUUCAUAAUAUAGCUGAAAAGUAAGAUGUUUGCAUAAGAGAGGUGUCUCUUUAAUACGGAUUAAUUAGUGAUGUAACAUGAUAUAGCAGAAUAAUAGGGUGGUUGCAUAAGAGAGGUGGCUGGUUAAUAAAGUGAGGAAUAACAACCAGAACUGGCUUUAUGCACUGUUUGCCAAAAUGAGUGGAGUCUUUAUUUAGCUUUUUCUCUCCUUUUGUUUUAAAGUAUUUAUUGGGGUGGAUGGGUGGGGGUCAUACAAUACAUGUAAUAAAUAAAUAAAAUAGUUUUCUUUUCUAAUUUUUCAGGCAUUUUGUUACCUUGUUUUGUUAUGUUUUUUAUGUUUCUCCUUUAAAUCUGUAAUGUGAAAUCUAAAAGUUACUACACGAUAAAAAGAGGUGCUAAUUGUACAGUAAGUUAAUAAUAAGAAUAUUUGAAAAAAUUCUCUCAAAAUCCAGAUGCAAUGCUGUAGGACAUGUUCUGUUUCAGUUUUACCAAUGUUUAAAUCAAAGUAUAUUUAUCCAGUGAAAGAGUACUGGGAUGCAACACCCACCCCAACAUCAUAAUCUACCCAAAAUGCAGAGAUUACUAAUACUGGAGGAAUAUAAUUAUUAAUUAAUAUUUUUAGUGGUAUAGAAGUGAUGUUAAUGUACUUUGGAAUAGUCUGGGUACUCCUUUUUGAAGUUGCACGUCCUCCCUAGAAAUAACCUGGAUCCACCCUGAUUAUUGUAUCAGUCAAAGUGAAUUGUAUUAUAAAAGUUUAUAUUAAAACAAUUUGAAUGUUACGUACCAUUAGACCAUUAUUGAGGGGUCGGGUAUACAGUGAGAUAGUAUCAUAGGGGCAUAUGUGGUUUUAUUAUCCACAUAGUUCAAGAUAUGCAGGGAAAUAUAACCAGUAUGACCCACAUGUGUCAUAAUGAUUUCAUGUGCACAAUGAAUGACGUAAUUUUGUGAAUCGACGUCAUAACUUAAUGCGGCUUCCCCAGUAUAAACACUUAACAAAAUGACGUCAUUUCGGAGAAUGGCAUGGUUUCAUUGUCUCUUUUUAGUUACGUUUGAAAUGUUUUGACAUUGUCCUAGCUUGUUGUUAAUAAAAAUAAUAUUUUGGAUAAUGUGGAUAAUAAAGAAAUGAUUAGACUUGUGUGUGAAUCAUACUGAUUUUACGAAACUCGUGUCAGGAUUCAUGAAUUACCCUCGCCCUCACUCGGGUAAUACAACAAUCCUGACACUCGUACGACACUGUACGACACACAAGCUUCAGGGGCGUAGCGUGAGCUGGACCUGGGGGGUUCGAAUAUGAACCAAGUGGACCUUUUCCAUUUUGUUUUUGCACCACCAGAAACUACAUAUGUAUAAACCUUAUGUUUUAGUUAUGAAAGCGGACCAUUUGCUUCAGCGAACCCACACACACACACACACCCAGUCUACACUCUUGAGUUUGUACAAUAAUCUAUAUAUCAGUUGAGAAUGUGAGUAUGUAGGGCUCAUCAUGAACAAGAAGAGGAGGGUGGGGCCUGGAUCAGAUAUAAGCUUGUAUGGGGAGUAUUGAACAAAACAGUUUUAAGAGCCACUGCAUUAGACACACGUACAGUGAAACUCCUCUAAACCGGACACUAGGGACCAAUAAAAAUGUCUGGUAUUAAGAGGGAUCUGGUUUAGAGAGGUUAAGUUCUGUACUGGUUUUUAAAAAGGGACUCUGUAAAAUGUCCGGUUUUGAAUGAAUUCCGAUUUGCAAAGGGUCCGAUCUUGAGAGGUUUUACUGUAUUUAGAAAUUACCAAAACUGGUAAAUUAAUAAUUCCUUAUUAACCACCAUUUGUUGAUAUUGUUACCAUUUGUUAACUGUACAUACAUGUGUGGAUAUUUAUUAUCUGUCAGUUGUUUUUUAUUUUUCACAGUAGUAAAGUGAAUAGGUAGUUAAAUGCUAUUUAACAGCAGCAGCAAUUCAAGAGGUCAUAAUGUUUGUAUCAAAUAGUUGUCAUAAUGUCAGGUGCAGCAUGAGUCUUGAUUACAAUUUCAAGUUGUCAUUUCUGUGGCAGUUUUUUUACUUUACAGGCAUAAUUCAGGUAAUAUUUACACAUAUUUUUAUCUCCAAUUGUUACAAAAAUAAUAAUAAUCUUUUUAAGCUACAUAAUUUGUCAAUGAAUAGGUUAUUUUAAAAUGUAUUCAUAAUAAAAUGAACUAUUUAAAAUGUAUUCAUAAUAAAAUGCACUGUAAUGAGAUUGUAUUUUUAAUUUUUAUUGUUUUAACAUCAUGAUCUGUAGUCUUUUCCUAGAAGUAAGUGACAUUUUUUUACUAUGGUAUGUACUACUAUCUAUUUAUUUUGGAACCCAAUGUUUUAUAAAGUACAAACAAAAAUAGUGCUUUUUAUAUUUCCAAAACACUUCUACUUUCCUUUUUCUGUCAAAUGAAACUGAAAUUCUUUUCGAGAAACAUUGUUCAUGAAGGCUGGGAAGGACUAUAGCUUUAAAAACUUAACAGGGUGUUUAUAUAUUUCAUAAUGUAUCUGAUUAAAUGUAUCUUUAGGUUGUAUUGGAGUUUUAAAAAAAAUACCUAUCAAUGAUGAUUUGUAAUAAAGUUGUUGAAGUUU